UUUUAAUUAGGUCUUUCCACUUUUCCGUGGAAAGACCUAUUGGUUUUCUUCUGAUUAUUAUUUUUUUUCUUCCGCCAACUUUUUGUUCCUUCGCUGUUUUUUUGUUUCGCAAGAUGUCGCUUAGACAUAUGGUAUAUGAUAUCGAACAGUUAUUACGCUUUUGUAACUGACACCGCGUAACCAAAAUCUUUUCAAUGUAAGAGUUAUUUCCCCGAACACUGUUUUUCUUGUUAUCGCUUAAUAUUCACAACCGUAUAAGAAACCGACAAAUUUAUUUUACCAAAUUGCUCGUUAUAUCCUCAGGAUGAUUUGAU
rnacentral:lncRNA from 1 species